AGAGUUUGAUCCUGGCUCAGAUUGAACGCUGGCGGCAUGCCUUACACAUGCAAGUCGAACGGCAGCACGGGAGCAAUCCUGGUGGCGAGUGGCGAACGGGUGAGUAAUAUAUCGGAACGUGCCCAGUCGUGGGGGAUAACGCAGCGAAAGCUGUGCUAAUACCGCAUACGAUCUCUGGAUGAAAGCGGGGGACUCGCAAGAGCCUCGCGCGAUUGGAGCGGCCGAUAUCAGAUUAGCUAGUUGGUGGGGUAAAGGCUCACCAAGGCGACGAUCUGUAGCUGGUCUGAGAGGACGACCAGCCACACUGGAACUGAGACACGGUCCAGACUCCUACGGGAGGCAGCAGUGGGGAAUUUUGGACAAUGGGCGCAAGCCUGAUCCAGCAAUGCCGCGUGCAGGAUGAAGGCCUUCGGGUUGUAAACUGCUUUUGUACGGAACGAAACGGUUCUCUUUAAUAAAGAGGGCUAAUGACGGUACCGUAAGAAUAAGCACCGGCUAACUACGUGCCAGCAGCCGCGGUAA
rnacentral:rRNA from 1 species